rnacentral:rRNA from 1 species
GAUGAACGCUGGCGGCGUGCCUCAAACAUGCAAGUCGAGCGGGGCUAUGUAAUAUCGCAAGGUAGAACAUAGCCUAGCGGCGAACGGGUGAGUAACACGUGGGUAACCUGCCUGGAAGACAGGGAUAACGAUUCGAAAGGGUCGCUAAUACCUGAUAAUAUCCUUUCAUCGCAUGGUGAUAGGAAGAAAGGGGAAACCCGCUUUCAGAUGGGCCCGCGUCCCAUCAGCUAGUUGGUAAGGUAAAGGCUUACCAAGGCGACGACGGGUAGCCGGUCUGAGAGGAUGUACGGCCACACUGGGACUGAGAUACGGCCCAGACUCCUACGGGAGGCAGCAGUUGGGAAUCUUAGGCAAUGGACGAAAGUCUGACCUAGCGACGCCGCGUGAGGGAAGAAGGCCUUCGGGUUGUAAACCUCUGUCAUGGGGAAGAAGGAAGUGACGGUACCCCAAGAGGAAGCCCCGUGCUAACUACGUG